AGUGAACGCUGGCGGUAGGCCUAACACAUGCAAGUCGAACGGCAGCACAGUGAGAGCUUGCUCUUACGGGUGGCGAGUGGCGGACGGGUGAGGAAUACAUCGGAAUCUACUUUUUCGUGGGGGAUAACGUGGGGAAACUUACGCUAAUACCGCAUACGACCUACGGGUGAAAGCAGGGGAUCUUCGGACCUUGCGCGAUUGAAUGAGCCGAUGUCGGAUUAGCUAGUUGGCGGGGUAAAGGCCCACCAAGGCGACGAUCCGUAGCUGGUCUGAGAGGAUGAUCAGCCACACUGGAACUGAGACACGGUCCAGACUCCUACGGGAGGCAGCAGUGGGGAAUAUUGGACAAUGGGCGCAAGCCUGAUCCAGCCAUACCGCGUGGGUGAAGAAGGCCUUCGGGUUGUAAAGCCCUUUUGUUGGGAAAGAAAAGCAGCAGGUUAAUACCCCGCUGUUCUGACGGUACCCAAAGAAUAAGCACCGGCUAACUUCGUG
rnacentral:rRNA from 1 species